UACAGAGGGUGCGAGCGUUAAUCGGAAUUACUGGGCGUAAAGCGCGCGUAGGCGGCUUUGCAAGUCGGGUGUGAAAUCCCCAGGCUUAACCUGGGAACUGCAUUCGAGACUGCAUUGCUAGAGUAUGGGAGAGGGAAGUGGAAUUUCAGGUGUAGCGGUGAAAUGCGUAGAUAUCUGGAGGAACACCGGUGGCGAAGGCGGCAUCCUGGACCGACAUCGACGCUGAGGCGCGAAAGCUAGGGGAGCAAACGGG
rnacentral:rRNA from 1 species